UACGUAGGUGGCAAGGCGUUGUCCGGAUUUAUUGGGUUUAAAGGGUGCGUAGGUGGUCUGAUUAAGUCAGUGCUGAAAUAUCCCGGCUUAACCGGGAGGGUGGCAUUGAUACUGAUGGACUUGAGUAAAGUUGAGGUAGGCGGAAUUGACGGUGUAGCGGUGAAAUGCUUAGAUAUCGUAAGAACACCUAUUGCGAAGGCAGCUUACUAAGCUUUAACUGACACUGAUGCACGAAAAGUGUGGGGAGUCAAAACAGG
rnacentral:rRNA from 1 species